GGGGAUGAUCGGUUUCGACGAUGUGAGUCGCGACAGGAGAAGCGGGCCGAGGAUGCAAAGUUAUCUCGUAAACGCUCUUUGCAAAACACAAGUGCCAACUCAAAGCGCACUGACUUCGCUCUCGCUGCCUAAGCAGCCAGACAGUCCGUCAGCCAGGGAUUGCUAUCGACCCUGAUCCUGGCGUCGUUUAGAUAGCCACUGCCACACACCCUUGUCAUCGGGGUGUGGGGCAUAACUUAGAUGACUGUGCUCGGGGUAUCCCGCAAGGGUCCAGCCGCAUGUUUGUGAGACGGCUGUUGGAGCAGAGAAAACCCAAAGCAAACUGCGCCCGGAGAAGUCUUGGCAACACCACAUCGGACGGGGGUUCAAUUCCCCCCAUCUCCACGU
rfam:Arthrobacter rhombi strain B Ar 00.02 genome assembly, contig: Scaffold20